rnacentral:rRNA from 3 species
ACUGCGAAGGGGGGACGGAGAAGGCUAUGUUGGCCGGGCGACGGUUGUCCCGGUUUAAGCGUGUAGGUGUGUGUUCCAGGUAAAUCCGGUUCACUUUAACACUGAGGCGUGAUGACGAGGCACUACGGUGCUGAAGUAACAAAUGCCCUGCUUCCAGGAAAAGCCUCUAAGCAUCAGGUAACAUCAAAUCGUACCCCAAACCGACACAGGUGGUCAGGUAGAGAAUACCAAGGCGCUUGAGAGAACUCGGGUGAAGGAACUAGGCAAAAUGGUGCCGUAACUUCGGGAGAAGGCACGCUGACACGUAGGUGAAGUGAUUUACUCACGGAGCUGAAGUCAGUCGAAGAUACCAGCUGGCUGCAACUGUUUAUUAAAAACACAGCACUGUGCAAACACGAAAGUGGACGUAUACGGUGUGACGCCUGCCCGGUGCCGGAAGGUUAAUUGAUGGGGUCAGCGCAAGCGAAGCUCCUGAUCGAAGCCCCGGUAAACGGCGGCCGUAACUAUAACGGUCCUAAGGUAGCGAAAUUCCUUGUCGGGUAAGUUCCGACCUGCACGAAUGGCGUAAUGAUGGCCAGGCUGUCUCCACCCGAGACUCAGUGAAAUUGAACUCGCUGUGAAGAUGCAGUGUACCCGCGGCAAGACGGAAAGACCCCGUGAACCUUUACUAUAGCUUGACACUGAACAUUGAGCCUUGAUGUGUAGGAUAGGUGGGAGGCUUUGAAGUGUGGACGCCAGUCUGCAUGGAGCCGACCUUGAAAUACCACCCUUUAAUGUUUGAUGUUCUAACGUGGACCCGUUACCCGGGUUGCGGACAGUGUCUGGUGGGUAGUUUGACUGGGGCGGUCUCCUCCUAAAGAGUAACGGAGGAGCACGAAGGUUGGCUAAUCCUGGUCGGACAUCAGGAGGUUAGUGCAAUGGCAUAAGCCAGCUUGACUGCGAGCGUGACGGCGCGAGCAGGUGCGAAAGCAGGUCAUAGUGAUCCGGUGGUUCUGAAUGGAAGGGCCAUCGCUCAACGGAUAAAAGGUACUCCGGGGAUAACAGGCUGAUACCGCCCAAGAGUUCAUAUCGACGGCGGUGUUUGGCACCUCGAUGUCGGCUCAUCACAUCCUGGGGCUGAAGCAGGUCCCAAGGGUAUGGCUGUUCGCCAUUUAAAGUGGUACGCGAGCUGGGUUUAGAACGUCGUGAGACAGUUCGGUCCCUAUCUGCCGUGGGCGCUGGAGAACUGAGGGGGGCUGCUCCUAGUACGAGAGGACCGGAGUGGACGCAUCACUGGUGUUCGGGUUGUCAUGCCAAUGGCACUGCCCGGUAGCUAAAUGCGGAAGAGAUAAGUGCUGAAAGCAUCUAAGCACGAAACUUGCCCCGAGAUGAGUUCUCCCUGAGACUUAGAGUCUCCUGAAGGAACGUUGAAGACGACGACGUUGAUAGGCCGGGUGUGUAAGCGCAGCGAUGCGUUGAGCUAACCGGUACUAAUGAACCGUGAGGCUUAACCUUACAACGCCGAAG